AGGAAAUAUUUAGUCCAGAAAACAGUCCAUCGCCAAGUCCAGAGAAGAGAUGCAAAAGAGUUGACGAACCACAGAAGGACAAACUGUUGUUCAAAAAAAUCCAAGAGAAAGCCAAAGAAAACAACGAACCGAAUGAACUUAGAAGAGAAAUCAAGGCCUUGAAAGCUGAAAAUCAGGAACUAAAGGCACUAAACUUUAAACUACAAAAAGACAUUAUUAACAGAUUUGAGGAGUUGUUGCCAAAUAGAAGCAGAUCUGUUGCACAAACCUGUCCACCACCUGCAUCUCCUAAACCUGCUCCUCAUCCAGCU